rnacentral:lncRNA from 1 species
UUUCCAUAAAAAUUUCAUGCUUGCAAUCAAAUGCACCAUAACUUCCAGUCAAAGGAAUAAAAUCUAAAAGCAGUUAAGGAGUUAUUACUUCCUGUACAAACGUGAAAAAAGAAGGAAAAAUGACCUAAAGGCCUUUAAGCCUGAGAAGCUCAUGAUGUCUAUCAAUCUGUUUUAGGACGUGAAGUUAUCGGGACAAAUUUAGAUUAAGCAUCUGAUGCAUAGGUCCUCUAGGGAUAUCCCAGAAUUGAAAGAUUCAUUUUCCGGGGGCACCAAACUACAUGGGUGAAAACCAGCUCAAAUGAUUUCAUAACUAAGGUCUUACAACAAAGUAUUUUUGAAGUUACAAAAAACUGCAAUGAAGUUUAUGAUUUGCAAUUCACAACAAACAACAAUGUCUAUGAAAGCAAUAGUUGCAGCUCAAUCUUAGUGCAGCGUCUUGAAACCCUUAACAAUACACAAACUCGAGUCCAUUGGAUCAUGUACACAAACCCUUAACACAAAUAGCUUUGAAUGAGGUCAAUAUUUUUCUGGUGUAGACGUUUUAGUUUCUGUAAGAUCGACAGUUGUUAUAUCUUCCCCUCCAGAAAGAUGCCUGACAAAGUAUUUUUGAGCAUGAGUGGCAACUUGAGUCGGAGUCCUCGUUAUUAUGAAUUCCGAGAGAUAUUUCUCCAGUCUCCUUUUCCAUACCUUUCAAGCCCCAACAGAAAUUGCCUGAGGGUUCACCAUCAAUAGAUAUCAUCAGAGGACAAGAAAUGGCUUCGUAUAAGAAAUUAUAACAUCAUGAAACUGUAAUUCAAUACUUCUUUGGCAUCCAAAAACUAAUUACGAAUAUGCAAAAAGUUCUCAGAAGUUAAAAUUGUGUCUACUCUAAUGUCUAAUCCUAUCGAGCACUACAUACCAAACGUGCAGAUUCAAGUUACAAUUUCUGACCCUUGGUUUCCUCGAAACGAACACUACCAAAAUAUGUCUCUUUCUUUUGCUAAUCUCAUGUGUUUGAUUGCAAAAGGCUGCAAAUUCUACUUCAUAUCACUGAAGGCAAGAUCCUAAAACAGUUUUCAAAUAAAAUUUCAAAUUACAUGAAGCUGCUGCAUAACAAAAUAUCACCUGUGUUCUUCCAUAGUCCAUGGAACUCCCUUUCUCGAUUGACAUUCCAUUUCCCAGUUCGUAGUUUGAAGUUAGUUACUCUAAGAUGCAAUCUGGUGAACAGCUUCAAGGCAAAGAAUUUGAGAAUAGAAGGAAAGAAACAUAUACAAGUGGAGGUCCCUUAUGACUAGAUAACCAUUUAGUCAAACAAUUAAUGGGAAUCUGAAUACUUAAUUAAAUAAGUUGUAAAAUCUUGUAGAGGCAUUAAAU